GCCGAAGUGGUGGAACUUGGUAGACACGCUAUCUUGAGGGGGUAGUGCCUUACGGGUGUGCGGGUUCAAAUCCCGCCUUCGGCACCA
rnacentral:tRNA from 1 species